UACGUAGGGGGCGAGCGUUGUCCGGAGUUACUGGGCGUAAAGCGCUUGUAGGCGGUCCACCAAGUUUGGGGUGACAGUUGUCGACUUAAUCGGCAAAGUGCCUCAAAGACUGGCGGACUUGAGGGCCACAGAGGGACAUGGAACUCCAGGUGUAGUGGUGAAAUGCGUAGAGAUCGGGAGGAACACCAGUGGCGAAGGCGGCCAUCUGGAUCAACACUGACGCUGAGGCACGAAAGCGUGGGGAGCAAACAGG
rnacentral:rRNA from 1 species